CAGCUCUUGGGCGUCAUUUAUUUUUUGCAUAGGCAUAAAUUAGGAUCUGGAGAUAAAAAACUUAAGAACCAAUAGUGCAGCAUUUGUAACAGGGACUGAAGUGCUGUCUCCCACCCUAGCUCCUCCUCUUCCAAAUCCACUCCCCUCCCUUCCAGUCCAAGGGUGACCCUGACUUGAUCCUCAGUAGAGAGGCCCACAGGAUCCCCCUGCAGCCCCUCUGGCCCCACCACAGGACAGAUACUCACAAAGAUGGCGAAGUCCUUGGGGGCACUGGAGAUAGUGCUGUUGGGUGACAAGGCCUUGGGCACAUGCUCUAAGGUAACGGCUGUGGGGCGGAUGCGGGCAGAGAGGCGGACCACGGCGAAGCCUUGUGGCCCCUGGAAGGCCCAGCAGUUGCCUGGGUGCCCACCUGGAGGAUGACUCGGGGUGACUGGGAGUGGUACCACAGGGGGAUGCCGAAGAGGCUGAGGAGGGCCGUCUUGGUCUCGUAGGUCUCAGAACAUCGGGUGCUGAUGACGCUGGCCCCU
ensembl:lncRNA novel transcript, antisense to SUN2